UAUCUGCUGCUUUUAAAGAUAGAAAGGGAUUUCGAAUUGUAAACACGCGUGUACUUCAAGGUUUCUUUUAUUUUAAUACCUUGAAGUUUUAUGUGACAUUUUUUGACGUUACAGUGAAGUGAGAAAUUAACCAUGCAGUGGAAUAACGGUUUUAAAAUUUCAGGCGCAAUAGCAACAAGUUCAGGGAUAUGUUAUUUUUUUAAGAAACAUUUUAAUUUUGUUCGGGCCUCGGAAUUUGACAAUAAUAAUAAUGUGAAUAACAAUAAUGAUGAUAAUGCAGGUUUAAAUGGUCGAAGUGAUCUGAAAUUAAAACAUGUUCAAGUGUAUUUCAGACAUGGCGCAAGGACUCCUAUACAUGUAGUUCCAAGUUUAGGAGAGGUCAGUUAUAGUGAAAACGAUAUAUUAGGAGAUGUAACAAAGACAUUAUUUGACAUUCAAGUUGUUGAUCUGGAUGCUGGAGGAGAACCAGAAGUUUCACCUAUUCAAAGAAGUUACGAAAAAAGAAGGCUUAAGGGUGGAGGUCUGCCUGGUUCUUUAACAUGUUAUGGUCAAGAGCAGAUGUUUGAUUUAGGUAGAAAUAUGCGACAAGACUAUGCUUCAUUUCUUCCUAGAGAAUUUGAUCCAGAUGAUAUUUAUGUUCGAUCCACUAACAUACAUCGUACUAUAGCAUCUCUACGUUGUGUAUUAGCUGGUCUUUAUGGUAGUGAAGAAUUAAAUGCCAAAGGUCCCAUAACUAUCCCAGUAUCUCGUACACAAUCGGAGAUAUUAUUUCCUAAUGGUCAUAAUUGUCCAGUUGUACGCCAGAUAAAUCAUGCUUCCAUGAUACAUUUUGAUGAUAUUCCUGGCUUUAAGGAAGAUAGGAAAAAACUGGAAAAUAUACUUGGUAUAGAUUCUGAACAUGGUAGUAGAAAAUUGAACUUUAUAUUUGUAAGAGAUGAUAUUGUUGCUAGAGUGACCCAUGGUUAUCCCAUGCCAAAUAUUAUAAAACCCUUUCUAGAUAUGAUUGAAAAAAAUGCUAUCAAGAUGAUGUACUAUGCUUUUUGUGGACAAUCUGAAGCAGAGCGAAAAGUAGGAUUAAGACUAACUACAGGUUUGGCAGUUGGUGCUAAUUUAGAUAGAAUGGAAGAAACAGUACAGGGCAAAAGAAAACACAAGAUGUGUCUUUAUUCUACCCAUGAUUCAACUCUUGUCGCUCUCUUGGCAUCUUUUGACAUUUUCGAUCAUACAUGGCCACCAUUUGCAGCAGAUCUAAGACUAGAAUUAUAUGAAGAUAGUAAUGGACGGCACUGGGUGAAAGUCUUGUAUUGUGGAAAGGAACAAAUUACAAGAGGAAAUACAAAGGUUUUGGUUCCAUAUGAAGAAUUUAAAGAGAAUAUGAAACCUAUGACUAUAGAGAAGAAAGAAUAUGAUAAAAUAUGUAAAUCUAAAAUAUUAGAAGAAAUAGCAAAUGCUCUGCUAGUUCAUGAGAAAGAUGAAGUAGAAGAUGAAGAAGAUAAAGAAGACUCUGAUAAACCAGCAGGAAUGUAAUGAUAGCAUCUUUUAGGAAAAUAACAAAUUGUAACAAAUGGUAUAACCUUUGAUCGGUGCUCUUUAUGACUUUGUUAAAAAAGUUUAGUCUUAGGAAAUUGAAAUGUUCAAUGAUUAUAUAUUGUUUAAUGGUCGAGAGCGAGACAUUAAGUAAUAUAUUUAAACAACAAGAGGGCCGUAGGCCCGAGUGUUUUUACAAUAUAUUACGCAAUGUCUUAAGCACGAGACCAUUAAACAACUUAAAAUACAGACACUCCGCACAUGCUUUUAUAGUGAAAUACGUCACGUGAGUCCAAUAUUUCACUAGUAUAGAUAAUGUACGAUUGGCAAGUUGCCCGUACGAUUAUUUGAAAUAAUGGUACACCAACAUCAAAGGGUGACGUCACAUCUGUAUUUUAAGUGUAUUUAAAAAAAUAAUUUAUAUUGCCAUAGGUUAAAUAAUCAAUAUUCCCUGUGAUUUGUGUACUAGUAUUUAUUCCCUUUUUCAAAUUCAUUAUGGUAUUAUUAGAUAAUAUCAAUGAAUAUAAAAUAAGAACUUUGCUGGUUGCAGUGGACGCUCUAGAGGCAUGAGACAAAGAAGCCUAUUGAUUUUCAGCGAUUUCAGAUGAUUACUGCCAGAGUUAUGGCCCUUGAUCACUUUGAAAAAUCUUGUUGACGCUCUAGAGGCUAAAGUUAUACACAGUGUUUAAGGUAAUGAGACGAAGAAGCCUAUUGAUUUUCAACGCUAUCCGAUAAUUACUGUCAGAGUUAUGGCCCUUAAUCACUUUGCAAAAUCUUGUGGAUGCUUUAGAGACCAUAGUUAUAUUUUUACACCGUGGUUACGCCUAUAUAUAAUCAUUUCGAUUGACUUUAGAUUGAUACACAGAGUCUUGAGACGAACAAGUAUAUUGAUUUUUAAUGAUUUUUGGUAACUUGAACAGCUAAAUCCAUGAUAUUAAAUGUUUUGUAUACUAAACGUCAGCAUGGGCCAAACAAAUUCUAAUGAUUUUUUGAUAAUUACUUAAUGAGUUGUUACUCUUAAUCAGAUUUUAGUGUAUUAUUAAUGUUUCAUUACCAACAAAAGUAAAAAUAGUGUUGACUGCCCAGACGAUUUAGCUGCUGUGGGCGUAUGUUUCGUUGCCUGGCAACCUAUCUUUUAUUAUAGGUCCCACCCCCCCAUUGAUAUUUUGAUAUUUUGUCUGUAAAUGAUAUACAGGUGCAAUUAUUAACAGAUUUGGAUCCAAUUCGGAGUGAUCCAGCAUAGGGUUUUACCUAUAUAUACUCUUCAAAAAAAGUAGGGGAUAUUGAAAUGCAAAUACCUAUGCAGGUUGUGAUAUGAUAAAUAGUCAUAGACACUUGACAUGCUUUGAGAGCAUGUUCACAAAUGAAGAACUUAUCGCCCAAUCAUAACCACUGAGCUGCAUGUGCGACACGCAAUCGUGCCAUACACGUGGCAGGGAUUCAUUGUCAAAGUUGACACUUCAAGGAAGGGUUGAUGAAAACUGCCUCUUGCUGGUUUUUUCCUAUCCAUGUUUGCUUUCCGAUCGGUUCGUGCAUAAAAUUUACUGUUUAGCAUAUCUUUGCUUUAGUGUGUUAUGUUUAAUUUGAUCAGCAGACGUGUUCGUCGACGUCAAUGUCAACCGACAACACUGCAAGAAUUUGCCGUGGCACUGCAAGAGGAGUGGGUCAGAUUGCCCCAAAUCGGGAUUGGACGGUUGAUUAGGAGCAUGCCACGACGAAUUGCUGAAUGUCUGAGGAUUGGUGGAGCAAUUACUCAUUAUUACAAAAAUCAAAAACGUCCAUUUUCACUUUUGACAGUGUAUCUCUUUUCGAGUAAAAUGGAGCCGUCAGAUAAGCUGCCCAUAUGAACUGUUAAUGUUCAUGGUUACCUCUAAUAAAAACAGCAGUGCAUUUCCGCAGUUUUGUAUUAUCCCCUACUUUUUUUGAAGAGUAUAUAUUGGUCUAUGUCCAACCUCCAUGGGCAGAGCCACGCCCAAUGUUUGUAUUUUUUUUUAUUCUACAAGCUAGAAUUCUAAACGGAUCAUUUUGAAACUUGGCAUAUUUAUUCCUUAUACUGUAAGGAUAGCAAAUAUUUAUUUUGGUCCAUGUCCCGACCCCCAGGCGUGUGGGACCACACCCACUUUUUUGUUAGUUUUUAUCUGUAAUUACUCUACACUUUGCAAUAAUUAACAGAUUUGUUCAAAUUCAGCAUAUCAAUCAUUUCAAUAACAAGGGAAGAGCCUCACCCAAUUUUUGUAUUUAUCGUCUACAGACUGCAAUUCUGAAUGGAUCAUCUUGGAACUUUGCAUAUUUAUUCCUUAUACCGUAAAGACAGUAACUAUUUUGUUAAUAUUUUAUCUGUAACUUUGGCAAAACAAACCCAACGUCUAGCCUUCUUUGCCUCUUGUCAUAUUACAGCCAUUUUAUAUUUCAUUCUCUUCAUUUUAAAAAGUACCAUAUCAAUCAAAGUAAUAGCCCCCCCCCCCCCCUUGCCAUGAGUAAUUGUAAACAUCUCUAUCCAGGAUAGAAUUCACAGCCUUUAUUCUACUGAAAGCUUCAACUUCAAUCUCCAUUGCAUGUGUUUGUAACAUUAGAAAUCAAGUAAAAAAGUCUGCAGUGGAUAAAGACACCUUUUAAUGGGAAAAUACGAUGUAACACCCAGUCCUUGAGAACAUGAUUGGUAGUUGAUUUAGCAGACCUGGAGUGUUUUGGGGAGAACCAUAAGAACAAAUAACGAUGUUAAAGGUCAAAGAUAAUCCAACAUUACGACAAGCUAAGUACAAAUUUACUACAACCUAUAACAUUUACUAAUAUUAUAAGCGGGCGGCUUAUUGUUUCAGUAAUUUGACUUCGAAAUCUCAAUUAAAAUUUCGAGUUAUUCACAAGACUUUAUUUGUCAAUUUAGAAUCAAUAUGGCGGCCAUGAAUACAAAAUGUUCAAGCUAUGUUGAAUGUGUUUUAAAAACACCACUUCCUAACUGUUUUAAAACGGUAGGCAGUCGUAAACAUACCGAUAAACUAAUCACUAAUAAAUACACCGAAGUGGUCAUCGUUAAGCCAAAAGACUAUACAAAAUCUAUAGCUUUCAAAAACUAAAACGAUCGGCGACGAAAUCAAAAGCAAAUGGGGAAUAAAAGACACUCCCGAAAUUAAAAUAUUGAAAAAUGGGAACGUUCGACUGGCGUUUGAAAAUGCCAUUGAUGCAGAAAUGGCAUGCAAGAUCGAACAACUAAACGGAGUAGAUGUGGUAAUAGCCCCACCCCUAUCUCAGGUGCAGGGUAUUGUACAUGCUAUCCCAUGUGAAUACACAAACGAAGAAAUCUUAGACGACCUUCAAUCCAAUGGGUAUGAAGUAAUAAGUGUACAUAGGUAUAGAAUCCCAGAUGGCAAAAAAUCAGGAACCGUACAAGUCACGUCAGGUCACGGAAAAAGUAAAAUUAGGUUUUCAGAUUAGAACAGUAUACCCGUAUAUUCCCAGUGUCAAAAUAUGUAGAAACUGUCAAAAGUUUGGACAUAAUGAGUCUCAUUGUAAGGUGAAAACUGCGUGCGAGAAAUGUUCAGACUCGCACGCCAGUAACACCUGCUCAUCUGAAAUAUUAAAAUGUGCAAACUGUGGCGAAAACCACAAGUCAACUGACAAAACUUGCACCAAAUUUAUUGAAAUAGCAGAAAUUCUUAAAAUUCAAUACUCUAAAAACAUUUCAUUUAAGGAAGCAAACUUAUUUUUAACGUCAUCCAGGAAUACACGAGGAGGGGGCGUUGAGAGACAAAAUAUAUUUACUGAUAAAUUAAAUCUAGAUAACGAUAAACCAAAUCGCAUAAUUACUACACCCCAACACUUGGUGUAAUUACUUGUAUAAAUAACUCAACGGACAAGGACUCUAGCUGUUAUUAACAUUAUUGAACAGAGUGCAAAAAGGUUUAUUAUUGACAACCAUCUAGAAAUAGAUAGCACAAUCCCUAUUCAAGCGGUUAACAAUACUCAGAAAGCUGAAUCGGAUAUUCAGGUUUGUGAGGACAUGUUAUCUGACAACUCAGAUGAUGAUUACAUCUCACAUGCGGCAAAAAAGAAGAAAGUAUCUAACAAUCGCCCAACCAUAGACCCAGUCGAACGAAGGGAAAGCAAAUCCCCAUUGAAAAGGAAAGUACCCAAACGAACAACGGUCGUGUCUGUUCAUGCCGAGGCGACAUCGAAUAAAGGACAUGUACAUAAAAAUAAGAAGAAUCCUAAAGCUAAUGACAAAAUACAGAAGAAAAAUACUAGCGACUAUUCAAACUGGCUCAUUAAUAAGAAUUAAACCUCUCCGGUCAAAUAAUCCAAUAACUUAUAAUAAGUACUAAUGUUGUCAGACCACGUUUGACAGAAUUGAACCUCCUGGUUAGCAAAUCCAAAAUUGACAUAAUAUGCAUACAGGAAACAAAAUUAGGUCCAAAGCAGAAGGGCCCAAAACGUAAUGGGUACACACUUUUGCGGAAAGAUCGUAUUAAUCUCACAAAAGGGGUUUCUGGGGGCGUUGCAAUAUUCGUGAGUGAACAACUCUCAUAUAAGUUUAUUAGAAAUGACUCUGGUGAAGUAGAGGUAAUCGGGUUAGAAUUAGCUACAACCGACAAACACAAUAUAACCGUAGUUAACAUUUAUAAUCCGUAUAAAAUCUUUGAGGAAGAAGCGUAUCAAAAAAAUAUAUGAUCAAUUAAAAACUAAAGACAUUAUUAUAUGUGGAGAUUUUAACAGUCACCACUCCACCUGGGGCCCCCCUCUUAAUAAUAAUGCCGGGAAUAAACUGAAUAAUUUCAUUGAAAAUUCUAAUUUGGUUCUACUAAAUAACGGUGACCCAACAUAUAUCGGUUCUGGCAACAAAGUGGGUGCAACCCACCUUGAUCUUACCCUAACAUCUCCCAGUUAAGCUUUAAACUGUAAGUGGCAAGUCAUAAAUAAUACGCUAGGUAGUGAUCAUCUAAUAGUCUUAACUGAAAUAAACUCGAACGUAAACAAAGAACUAGUCACGUGCAAACAAAGAUGGAAACUUCAACACGCAAACUGGGUUCUUUUUCAACACUACUGUGAAGAAAUCGGCCCAAGCGCAGUUAGACACGAUGAUAUAAAAAUAUAUUUACCGAUAAUAUUUUGCGUGCGAUCUUAAGUGUAGCAGAAGGUUCAAUUCCCAGAACAACAGAUGGGAAAACUAAAGGCGCCUCAAAACCUUGGUGGUCCCCAGAAUUUCAAACAGCCGUAAAUGCAAGGAAAAAAUCACAUAAAAAACUAUUCCGCGUCUGGUCCUCAGAGAAUAAAUCUUUGUAUACUAAGUGCGAUGCAAACGCCAGACAGGUCAUUUCACAGGCAAAAGAAAAGCAUUGGAUGGCAUUCUGUGAUAGUACUAAUGAUAAAACUAAAAUUUCAAAUGUCUGGGAAAAAAUACACGCAAUAAGCGGCAAAUGUUUUUCUAGAAAUAUUCCUACGCUUAAUUAUGAAUCCCAAUCAGCCAUGGCAAAUUGCGAAAAGGCGGAGCUGUUAGCAAAAACAUUUGCUGAUGGCAGUAGCGAUAAAAAUCACAACGACAAAUUCUUAAAACAAAAGUCGGAAUUUCAUUGCAAUAAACCAUCGCGUAACUCUGCAGAUGAACACAAAGAAAUUAACUCACCCUUUACCCUAGACUCGGGCCUAGAGGAAAUGCAUAAAGGUUUAAGUGGCAAAAUUAUUACUGUGAAAGUAAUGGAUCAAUCAGUCCAAACCAAAGUGGAUAUAGACAGCAGCGCUCCACUAUUGAUCAUAUUGUAAGGUUACAGCGUGACAUCAUGACUUCACUAUCUAAAAAGAACAAUUAUCUAUGUGCAGUAUUCGUCGAACUGGCCAAGGCAUUUGACUUAGUUUGGGUGGAUGGCCUACUCAAAAAAGUACAUGGACUAGGGGUAACAGGACGAAUGUUCCACUGGAUCGAUGAUUUUCUAAGCGAUAGGCAAAUACAAGUUAAUGUAGGUCUCUCAAUAAGCAACAAAUACGAACUGGAAAUUGCACACCCCAGGGUUCUGUUAUAAGCCCCACCCUCUUUAAUAUCAUGAUUAAUGACCUUCAGUCUAAUAACUACAUUAAGAAACUUAUUGACGUAGCGGUUUAUGCUGACGACAGUUCAAUCUGGCACGCAGUGAAUAACUACGGUACGGUUAGAACGAGAAUGCAAGAAGCCUUAGACAAAUUGUGGAAAUGGUCUAAUGACUGGGGAUUUCGUAUAUCUGAAAGUAAAACAGUACGCAUGCUCUUCUGUAGGGAUCAUAGGGAAGUGUCAUCUAUGAAACUGGAAUUGAACAAUAGCCAAAUUAAAUUUAAAGAUCAGGCAAAGCUUCAUGGGGUGACCUUUGAUCGCAAAAUGACUUUUAUACCACAUAUUGAAAAUAUUGUUAAACGAGGACAAAGUUCUUAACGUAAUGAGAUGUAUGACGGGCAUAUCAUGGGAGCAAACAAAACGACCCUGCUAAUGAUAUAUAGGUCCAUGAUAAGAUCAAUAUGUGGCUAUGGUUGUGUCGCUUUUGCAAGUGCAAAUAAAACAGCUCUUGCUAAACUAGACAGUUUACAAUAUCAGGCAAUAAGGAUAGCAACGAAAGCUUCAUUUGGCACAAAAAGGGAAAGUAUUUUGCAGGAAGUAGUUGAAAUAUCAUUCGAAUGGAGGCGAAACGAACUGACAUUGAGAUACUGGGCCAAGUUACAGUAUCUUGGGGACAGCUGUCUAACAUUUAAGUGUACAAAAACAUCAAGGAGAAAAUUCAAAAGAAAUGUCAAAUCAGAGACUCAGUCGUUCGGUCACAGAGCAAAUAUCUAUUAAAAAACCUAAGAUUAGAUCACUAUCAGAUUACUGACAGGGUAUUUUCGUAUCAAGUCCCAUGGACUUUUUUUAAAUCCAAACUAUGCCAUAAGCCUAGGUAACGUUGUCAAGAAAAAAGAAAAUCCCCAACAAGCUCUAUUGCUAUCAAGGGAAUUCGUGAACAGAAAAUGGUCAUCGCAUGUGAAAAUAUACACGGACGGGUCUCACGAUCCAAACACUACCAAUAAUUUAAUAUUAAUAUAUCGAAAAGGCUAUAUAUAUAUAUAGCAGAACUAAAGGCAAUAUCCGCAGCCCUUGUAUGGCUCGUGUCAUCCACCAUUCAAAGAGCAGUCAUUGUGUCAGGCUCCCUUAGCAGCAUAAAGUCAAUAAUACAUGACAAAAAAACACCUAGACCAGAAAUUGUUCAGAAUAUUCGAGCAAGUGUUUAUUCCCUCCGAAACAAAAAUAAAACCGUAGAAUUUACAUGGAUACCAUCCCAUGUUGGCAUAGCAGGCAAUGAGUCCGCAGACAAUCUGGCUCGCAAAGGACUCGGCCUCUGCGAGACCGAAUACUUAAAAUAUAGCGUUCAGGAAUUUAAUAGCAUCGUCAAAACUAAAAUUAAAUCACAAUGGAAAAUUGAGUUGGCCCUAGCAAAUACGUUUAGAUUCAAUUUAAACAACGAUCUGGUUUUACAGACGGAGAUUAAUCACCCAUCGCGCAAAAUUUGUGUGUUAUUCACAAGAUUAAGAACUAAAGAUUUAAUUACCGACCAUAAAUUCAACCCAGUGAAGUGCGAAUGUGGCCACAAUUUGACCGUUAAUCAUGUUAUCACUGCGUACAAUAAAUUGGAAAAGAAAAGACGUUUAAUGGAAAAUGCCAAACUUCAAUAUACCCUCCAAAAUGUACUCUUCCCCCCUCGGAAUAUGUCAUAUAAAAUUUAUGAAGCUAUCUCAAACUUCAUAGCAGAAUCGGGAAUUAACUGUUAAAUUAGUUGCGUUAAAAUAGCACUAGUCAAAGAAAGAUAACUGGUUGUGUAGACCAGGUUGACCCCUAAGCCACUUGGAUGCUUUAAUAAGAUAGGGGACUACAUAUCUAGUUACAAAAAAGGAACUAUUGCUAUAGGACAGUAGAGCGGUUCAGCCUGCUGUAUAGUUUACUAUAAUAAUAUACAUGUACUAAGGAAAAAUAAUGACAAAAUACAGGAAUAGGGACCUACAUAACCAUUAUUAACAAUGACAGUGCACAUCAAUCAAUUUAAUUUAACAUGUGUUUAAAAAUUUAUUUACUUCUAUAAAUGGUUCAAUUUGUCUUUGUUGCUGCUGACUCUUCUUUUUCUUUUCAGGUAACUUUUUUACGCAAGGAAAACUCUAAUGUAAUGCCUACAACUUUUAAACUUUUAAGUCCUGAACUCAUUAAUUUUUAACAAUAUGGAACUUAUUGGACGAACACUUUUAAUAUGUAAAAAAUCUACGGGUCCAGCUAUGUGGUUUUUACUUCGAGCACUUCGCUUUUCCGCAUAAAGCCAGCGGAUUCUUUUUCCCCACGGGGGUUUUUCUAUCCGCUCUGAUGACUCGCCCUCUCUUUUCAUGACGGCGAAUUUUUAAGUGUGCUUUAAGGAACUUUUGGUAUCCGAGGACCCUUUUUUUUUGCUUUUUUUUUAAUUUGUGUUUUUAACAAUUUUUCAAGUGUAAAUAAUUUAAUUAAAUCAACCUGUCCAUAGUAUCAUAUUCAUUGUAUUGGACGUUAAAUCUGUAAUAGACAACAACAACAACAUGUCUUGCCCAGUAGCAGGGGAGUCGAGUUGUAUCAGCAGAGGUAAAACUGAGAUUAUUUCUCCAGUCGAUUUCACCGACGAGUUUGACCCCGAUACAGAGAGCCCCUUUUAGGAGGGUUAUAGAGAGAGCGAUACAGAGAGCCCUUUUAGGAGCGUUAUAGAGAGUCCGAUAGGGAGCGUCACAGAGAGCCCUUUUGUAGGAGCGUUAAGAUUGUCGAGCUCUGAGAGAGCCAUUUUGAGAGCCAAUGAAGUGUAUACAUAGAGCAGCGGUUCUCAACCUUUUUUUGCCAACGGCACACCCUGCAACACAUGAAAAAAUAGCGGCAUACCUGGCUAAAUAUAUAUGAAAAAUAUUUGAAUUUUGCAAAAAAAAAACAACGAAAGUCAUAGACGGCAUAGAACCGUAGACACGCUGUUAAAAAUAAAUGUAAAAUUACAGUGAAAACGCUGUAAAAAUACCACUGCAUGUUUUUAUACUAUAAAUUUACUGUAUUAGUGAGGUAACAUGGGAUUACUGUAAAAAAAAUUGGUAAAUUAACAAUAAAAGUAUAGUUUUACAAGUUAGAACUGUAUUGUUAUUACACGUAAUCUGUAUUGAUACAACUAUGUUGGUUAAAAGGACAUGUAUGUUGUACUUUAUCAGUUUUUAUGGGUAAUGACUGUUCGGACUCAUC